rnacentral:rRNA from 1 species
GUCUUAUUUUUAUUUUUGUGGGGUAUUGUAGUUAAUAAGAAAAGUAUUUUUAUAUUAUUUUAAAUUUUAGUAAUGAUUAAUAAAAAUUUGUUUAACGGUAAUAGAAGAGAGUAUUGUAUAAGAAAGAGCAGUAGAAAUUUAAUUAUAAAGGAAGAAAUAAUAUGUACCUUUUGUAUCAGGGGUAAUCAAAAUUUUUUAUUUAAUUUAAGCAUCUCGAAAAGAAAAGAUCUAACUUACAUUAAUUGUUAAUGUAUCAGUAUUAUUUAUAAAUGUAAGUUAGUUAUGAAAUGUUUUUCGUGUUUCUUGAUAUCUAGUUAUUAGAGAAUGGAAUUUAAUUCUAAUGUUUAUUAUUUUUUAAUAAACAAGUAAUUAUAAAAGGGAGAGCUUUUUAUAAAUAAAAUUUGAUAUAAUUUAAAUUUGCAAUUUUUAAAAGUAGGCUUGAAAUCUGCCAGUAUAAAAAUACGUUAUAGUUUAUAUAAAAUGUUUAUUAUUUAUAUAUUAUUUAUAAUUAAAUUUAUCUACAAUAUCUAAUAAAGAAAUAGAUUUUAAAAUUUCUGUUAUAAUGAUUAUAUUAGUAAAUUGAUUUGUAAAAAUAUAAAUAUAAAUUUAAUAGAAAAUUUUAAUUCAUUAAAGAUAUAAAUAAGGAACUCGGCAAAUUUUAUUUUCACCUGUUUAACAAAAACAUGUCCGUAUGAGAAUAAUAUAAGGUCUAGCCUGCCCAUUGAAGAAUUAAAAGGCCGCGGUAAUUUGACCGUGCAAAGGUAGCAUAAUCAUUAGCUUUUUAAUUGGAAGCUUGUAUGAAAGGCUGAAUGAAAAAUAAUCUGUCUUGUUUAUAAAAAUUGAAUUUGACUUUUAAGUGAAAAGGCUUAAAUUAUAUAAAGGGACGAUAAGACCCUAUAAAACUUUAUAUGAAAUAAAUUUUUUAUUAUAAUUAUUUGUUUAAUAAGGAAUAGUUUAUUAAUAUUUUAUUGGGGCGAUAGGAAUAUAAAUAAAUAACUGUUCUUGUGAAAUAUAAAUAUCAUUAUUUAUAAAGAUCCUUAAUUAGAGAUUAAAAGGUAAAGUUACUUUAGGGAUAACAGCGUAAUUUUUUUUAAGAGUUCUUAUCGACAAAAAAGAUUGCGACCUCGAUGUUGAAUUAAAAUUUCUUUAUGGUGCAGGAGCUAUAAGAGAAAGUCUGUUCGACUUUUAAAAUUUUACAUGAUUUGAGUUCAAACCGGCGUGAGCCAGGUUGGUUUCUAUCUUUUAUAAUAUGCUAAGAUGCUUUAGUACGAAAGGAUUAAGUAUUUGGAAUAUUUCUUGAUAGUAGAAUGUUUUUAAAAUUAGAUUAGAAGAAAUAUUUUAUAUUUCUAAAAGAAAUGU